UCUCAGUUCGGAUUGGAGUCUGCAACCCGACUCCAUGAAGCUGGAUUCGCUAGUAAUCGCGCAUCAGCCACGGCGCGGUGAAUACGUUCCCGGGCCUUGUACACACCGCCCGUCAAGCCAUGGGAGCCGGGGGUACCUGAAGUGCGUGACCGCAAGGAGCGCCCUAAGGUAAAACCGGUGACUGGGCUAAGUCGUAACAAGGUACC
rnacentral:rRNA from 1 species